UACGUAGGUUCCGAGCGUUAUCCGGAUUUACUGGGCGUAAAGCGCGUUCAGGCGGUUUGACAAGUCGGGCAUGAAAUCUCUCGGCUCAACCGGGAGAGGUUGUCCGAUACUGCUGGACUGGAGGGCAGUAGAGGGUGGUGGAAUUCCGGGUGUAGUGGUGAAAUGCGUUGAUAUCGGAAGGAACUCCGGCGGCGAAAGCGAUGCACUGGCUGGUUUCUGACGCUGAGGUGCGAAAGCCAGGGGAGCAAACGGG
rnacentral:rRNA from 1 species